UGAGUAACACGUGGGUAACCUGCCUGUAAGACUGGGAUAACUCCGGGAAACCGGGGCUAAUACCGGAUAACUCAUUUCCUCGCAUGAGGAAAUGUUGAAAGGUGGCUUUUAGCUACCACUUACAGAUGGACCCGCGGCGCAUUAGCUAGUUGGUGAGGUAACGGCUCACCAAGGCGACGAUGCGUAGCCGACCUGAGAGGGUGAUCGGCCACACUGGGACUGAGACACGGCCCAGACUCCUACGGGAGGCAGCAGUAGGGAAUCUUCCGCAAUGGACGAAAGUCUGACGGAGCAACGCCGCGUGAGUGAUGAAGGUUUUCGGAUCGUAAAGCUCUGUUGUUAGGGAAGAACAAGUGCCGUUCGAAUAGGGCGGCACCUUGACGGUACCUAACCAGAAAGCCACGGCUAACUACGUGCCAGCAGCCGCGGUAAUACGUAGGUGGCAAGCGUUGUCCGGAAUUAUUGGGCGUAAAGCGCGCGCAGGUGGUUUCUUAAGUCUGAUGUGAAAGCCCACGGCUCAACCGUGGAGGGUCAUUGGAAACUGGGGAACUUGAGUGCAGAAGAGGAAAGUGGAAUUCCAAGUGUAGCGGUGAAAUGCGUAGAUAUUUGGAGGAACACCAGUGGCGAAGGCGACUUUCUGGUCUGUAACUGACACUGAGGCGCGAAAGCGUGGGGAGCAAA
rnacentral:rRNA from 1 species